rnacentral:rRNA from 1 species
GAUGAACGCUGGCGGCGUGCCUAAUACAUGCAAGUCGAGCGAACAGACGAGGAGCUUGCUCCUCUGACGUUAGCGGCGGACGGGUGAGUAACACGUGGAUAACCUACCUAUAAGACUGGGAUAACUUCGGGAAACCGGAGCUAAUACCGGAUAACAUGUUGAACCGCAUGGUUCAACAGUGAAAGACGGUCUUGCUGUCACUUAUAGAUUGAUCCGCGCCGCAUUAGCUAGUUGGUAAGGUAACGGCUUACCAAGGCAACGAUGCGUAGCCGACCUGAGAGGGUGGACGGCCACCCUGGAAGUGAGAAACGGCCGCGACUCCUACGGGAGGCAGCAGUAGGGAAUCUUCCGCAAUGGGCGAGAGCCUGACGGAGCAAAGCGGCGUGAGGGAAGAAGGUGUUCGGAUCGUAGAACUCUGUUAUUAGGGAAGAAGAAAUGUGUAAGUAACUAUGCACGUCUUGACGGUACCUAAUCAGAAAGCCACGGCUAACUACGUG